rnacentral:lncRNA from 1 species
GGCCUGAGUCUGUGAGGGUCUCCAAAAAAAAAUUGGGGUGAUUCCUUCAAUCUUGGUUAUACGCAUUUAAGAAUGGGUCAUUGACAGUGAAGUAACCUUGAGUAACUUGAACUUGUUCUUGGAUGAAGGGUGAAAACUGUGCAGCCAUGAGACAUUCACUCACAUGAUGGAUUGGGCUAGCACAGAUAGAACAAAUCUCUUGAUAAUUGAAAGAUUGUGUGUAUUGCACAAGAGAUUGUGGUCCUAGGGCUAAGCAUUUAUCUAUAAGAAGAUCGACUUUAUCUAAUUUUUGGGCUAAUAGGUUCAAAUCGGCCUCAAGACUCGAGUUAGAAUAUUUGAUCCCAUAAAAUGAUGGAAACAUCGAUGGGUUAUAGGUGAAAGAAAUAAAAUAUUCCUUCAUCUACCUAGGUAGUUCUCAAAAUUUCUAGCCAUUUGAUUAUUAGGUGUAACAUGGAUCAGUCAUUCAAUUUUAGGAUUAAGUUCAACU